rnacentral:rRNA from 1 species
GACGAACGCUGGCGGCGUGCUUAACACAUGCAAGUCGAACGGAAAGGCCCUGCUUUUGUGGGGUGCUCGAGUGGCGAACGGGUGUGUAACACGUGAGUAACCUGCCCUUGACUUUGUGAUAUCUCCAGGGAACUGGGGCUAAUACCGGAUAGGAGCUCCUGCUGCAUGGUGGUGGUUGGAAAGUUUCGGCGGUUGGGGAUCGACUCGCGGCUUAUCAGCUUGUUGGUGGGGUAGUGGCUUACCAAGGGUUUGACGGCUAGCCUGCCUGGGAGGGGGACCGGGCACAUUGGGCCUGAGGUACGGCCCAGAAUGCUACGGGACGCAGCAGUGGAGAAUAUUGCAGAAUAGGCGGAAGCCUGAUGCAGCAACGCCGCGUUCGGGAUAACGGCCUUCGAGGUGUAAACCGCUUUCGCCUGUGCCGAAGCGUGAGUGACGGUAAUGGGUAAAGAAGCAACGGCUAACUACGUG